GAGAAUGGGCCAUGCCUGCCCAGGGAGAAAGGCCCUAGGGCAGACGUAAGACACACUGAAGAAAUUAUAUCUCCCAGCUGGAUGGAUGGAUGCUAGGAGGUAAACUUAGAAGCUAUAAAGUGCAGCAGGUGGAGAAAACCAAUGAAAGAGUGAAUGUCAAGGCAUCCUCAGCAUUCUCAUCCCUCUGCUGCUUUUCUUUCUGUGGGGAUCUGUUAAACUUGAAACUUUACUCUGGGUCUUACAUGACAAUUGGACAAAAGCACAGACCUUCUGCAGGAAGUACCACACUGACCUGGUCACAAUCAGAAAUGAACAAGAGAACACAUUUUUCAGUUCUGGAAGCUGGAUCGGAUUAUAUCGAGCUAAUACAAGUACAUGGAAAUGGUCCUGAGGAGACGAGAUAGCUAGCUUCACCAAGUGGGAUAGUUAUAGGGCAAGUCAGAAUGGAGACUGUGUAUAUAAGUAUAAUGGCUUAUGGUUUACUCACGGUUGCCAUUUCAAACAUUCUUUCAUGUGCUAUGAUGAGAAACUGGUUUUAGUGAAGGAGAAUAAGACCUGGGAGGAGGCAUUAGACCACUGCAGGUCUCUGGGUGCAGUGGACACAAAUGAUCCCAACUCUCCCUACAGGAACCAUCACUAUGACCUGGCCACAUUGAUCACUACUGGUGACCACACCUACGCACGGGAGAGAUCACAACAAGCUACCACUGAUGAGGUGUGGACAGGCCUGUAUAACCUGGCUGGUGAGUGGCUGUGGGUGGGGGGAGAACAGAUGCAAUAUGAAAAUAUUCCAAGCUGCCCGACUAACGGCUUCUGUGGCGUCCUCGAGAAGAGUGGUACUGCAUCCUAUGGCAUAAAAAAUUGUCAGCUGAGAAGGAACUUCUGUUACAUAAAGCCAUAAAGCCACUUACUCAAGUUCUGUACGUUUGUAUAAUAUGAUUUUCUUCUUUUUAAUGGUUAACUAUCUCACUAUGAUUUUGACUUCAGAGAUUUGCUGCUUCAUUUUGCUCCGCCCUGCCUACUGAGAAACCAGA